UGGGGAAUAUUGCGCAAUGGGCGAAAGCCUGACGCAGCAACGCCGCGUGAGUGAUGAAGGCCUUCGGGUCGUAAAGCUCUUUUGUCAGGGAAGAAACGGUAGUAGCGAAUAACUAUUACUAAUGACGGUACCUGAAGAAUAAGCACCGGCUAACUACGUGCCAGCAGCCGCGGUAAUACGUAGGGUGCAAGCGUUAAUCGGAAUUACUGGGCGUAAAGCGUGCGCAGGCGGUUGUGUAAGUCAGAUGUGAAAUCCCCGGGCUCAACCUGGGAAUUGCCCCGCAUACUGCGUUGCUCGAGUGUGGUAGGGGAGAGCGGAACUCCUGGUGGAGCGGUGAAAUGCGUAGAUAUCAGGAGGAACACCGGUGGCGUAGGCGGCUCUCUGGUCCAUAACUGACGCUGAAGUGCGAAAGCUAGGGUAGCGAACGGGAUUAGAUACCCCCGUAGUCCCUGAGCGGGCUGGCAAGGCGCAU
rnacentral:rRNA from 1 species